AUGUCAAGUCUCCGGUCCCUUACUGUGAUCAACUUCAACCUCAAUGCAAUUUCUGGUGUGAUUCCUGAAUUCUUCGCGGACUUUCUCAAUUUAAGUGUUCUUAAACUCAGCUAUAACCAUUUUAGUGGUUGGUUUCCUCCAAUGAAAUUUCAACUCAAGAACAUAAGAGUCCUUGAUGUGUCAAGCAAUGGUGAACUCUCAGGGCAUUUACAAGAAUUUCCAAAUGAUACUUAUUUGGAGACUUUGAAUCUACAAUACACUGCCUUCUCCGGUAUCCAUUUAAGCUCUUUUAGCAACCUUCUAUCUCUGAGGGAGCUAGGUUUUGAUGGAAGGUCAAUUUCUAUGGGGCCGACCGAUUUAUUGUACCACAACCUCGAUUCCUUGCAAAACCUGCAACUCUCUCCUGUGGGAUUUUUGGGAGACUUAGGAGCAUUUUUCUCAUGGAUUAUUAGCCUUAAGAGCUUGACAAGCUUGCAACUCUCUUAUUGCUAUUCCUCCAAGAUAAUGCUCGCCUUGGAUGGCAACCUCACCAAUUUGACGAGUUUAGAUAUUUCUAGUUGUGACUUGCCACAAUCAUUUGGCAACCUCAACAAGUUGACCUCCUUAAGAAUAUCUGAUUGUGUCCUCUCAGAGAUGAUAGCAUCUUCAAUUGGCAAUCUCAAGGAACUAAGAAGCUUGGAAAUCUCUUAUAGUGACUUCUCUGGAACAAUACCAUCUUCAAUUGGCAAUCUCAAGAAACUAAGAAGCUUGAAAAUCUCUCACAGUAACUUCUCAGGGACAGUACCAUCUUCAAUUGGCAAUCUCAAGAAACUAAGAAGCUUGGAAAUAUCUCAUAGUGGCUUAUCAGGUCAAAUACCAGCACCUAUUGGAUAUCUCAGAAGAUUGAAGAUCUUAGUACUAGCGGGCUGCAUGUUAUAUGGCAGAAUACCAAGUUUAAUUGCCAACUUGACUCAACUGACUUAUCUAGACCUUUCGCAGAAUGUCCUUCAAGGUAAGGUUCAUAACCCAAGUAUACCCGAAGCAACUGGAACAAGAACUGAAAAUAAACCCAUGCAUAUAUCUGUCAUGAAUACAAUUUUCUGCAUCAACCUGCAUUUUAUUAGCUAG
rnacentral:rRNA from 1 species